CUCGUAGGCGGUUCGUCGCGUCCGGUGUGAAAGUCCAUCGCUUAACGGUGGAUCUGCGCCGGGUACGGGCGGGCUGGAGUGCGGUAGGGGAGACUGGAAUUCCCGGUGUAACGGUGGAAUGUGUAGAUAUCGGGAAGAACACCGAUGGCGAAGGCAGGUCUCUGGGCCGUUACUGACGCUGAGGAGCGAAAGCGUGGGGAGCGAACA
rnacentral:rRNA from 1 species